GAAAAAACCAAAACCUAGGCUAGCACAGCCAUUGGGUCGUUCUCCUGGUCGAGAAGAAACGCGAGGCGUGAGGCAGUGGACGCCCCGCCCCGUCGAAUCUCCAUCCCUCGUUCUACUACUUGUCAAUCCGCUUCUGCCCAUGCAGGAGAGGAAGGAGGGCAACGACUCUGUCAGCAAGCUCGUGGCUAGGAAGCCCUCUCGAAAAGGCAUCUCCUACAGCCAGCCCCUUAACCGAGAUGUCGUUCUCGCCUGUGCGUCACGCCGCUGAGCCCUCCCUAAAGCAGAGCCUUGACGAGGACAACUGCAGCACCCGACCCUCCUCAAUCCCCGGCUUUUUCUUCGUUCUUAAACUCUAACCUAGGGUUUGGUGCUAUUUAUUCCCAUCUGCAUCUCUCAACAACUCUUCUGUUCGGUCUUUCCCUCUCCCAUCUCUAGUUCUUCCACGUCUUCAUCUUCACCGAAGAGAAGUCCGAAGGCCGCAGCUUGAAUACUUUUCUUUUCCUCUGUCGUCUUUCACCUUUCAUCCCUUCUUCUCCUUAGGUCCUCGCGGACUCUCCGCUAAUGGCUCCAAUGCCACGAAACUUUAAUCUGAAGAAGAAGUUAAACAAGAAGAUUCCAAGAGGGGAGGAAGUUCACGCGUCCUCCAAAAAAAUUGAAUCUCUCGAAUUCGAUCCAGGCUCCGAGGAGGAGGAGGAGGACCGCAACCAGUUCUUCGACCCGGAAGACUUCUUCCAACGGAGAACCCCUUGCCGACGACUUCCUUGGCGGCAGCGACGAUAGUGAGGGAGUGGAAGAGCUAGGGUCAGAUUCGGAUGAAUCUGAUCUGGAGGCAAAAUCAAGAACUAUAGAAGAGGCCAAAGCGAGGGCAGAGGAGAAAGCGCAAGAUGAGUUGCAACUUAAUAUAAAGGGGGGAUCUGAUGAGUUCAUAUUGCCAAUGAAAGAGGUUCACUUUUUUGUACUGAGAUAUGAGUGAUCAUACAAGAACUCAAAGAAGAAGCACAACAACCGCCCAAUCUUCAGAACAUUCAUUGGAGGAUCAAUGAAAAUGAGUAAUUUGCCUUCGUCUAACUCAAGUUUACCACCCCUAUCCAACUAUUUUGUAGUCAGAUGCAUAUGAAUACAAAUCUGCUAAUAUUCCAUCAAGGGAGGAAGAUAAAGUAGAUGGUUUAGGAGACUUGGUCAGACAAUCUAUUUGGAAAGGGCCUAAGACCAUCUCCAACCCACAUCACUAAAUAUGGUGUAAU